GGGGGGGGGGGGGGGGGGGGGUGGCGGGGGCGGGGGGGGGGGGGGCGGCGGGUCUGGCGGCGGACGGGGGGGUGACGCGUGGGAAGGUGCCCUUCUCUACGGAAUAGCCCUGGGACACUGGGAGUAAGACCGUAUACGCCCUAUUGGGGAAAGAUUUAUCGGAGAAGGAUCAGCCCGCGUUGGAUUAGGUAGUUGGUGGGGUAAUGGCCUACCAAGCCGACGAUCCAUAGCUGGUUUGAGAGGAUGAUCAGCCACACUGGGACUGAGACACGGCCCAGACUCCUACGGGAGGCAGCAGUGGGGAAUCUUAGACAAUGGGGGCAACCCUGAUCUAGCCAUGCCGCGUGAGUGAUGAAGGCCUUAGGGUUGUAAAGCUCUUUCAGCUGGGAAGAUAAUGACGGUACCAGCAGAAGAAGCCCCGGCUAACUCCGUG
rnacentral:rRNA from 1 species